UGAAUAGUUGGUAAAAUAUAUGUCUGAGC
rnacentral:sRNA from 1 species